CCCUUCUCAGGAUCGCACCUGGAGAGUUUCUGGUACUCUACCAUUCUCGACUAUGAGAGGGAGAGUCAAGUAGAGGCAUACCCAUUCCAUUCCUAGCUUAACCAGGGGAUAGCAAGUGGAAGACAUUCUGCUACAAGU